rnacentral:lncRNA from 10 species
GUAUGGUGCUGGGUGCAGAUGCAGUGUGGCUCUGGAUAGCACCUUAUGGACAGUUGUGUCCCCAAGGAAGGAUGAGAAUAGCUACUGAAGUCCUAAAGAGCAAGCCUAACUCAAGCCAUUGGCACACAGGCAUUAGACAGAAAGCUGGAAGUUGAAAUGGUGGAGUCCAACUUGCCUGGACCAGCUUAAUGGUUCUGCUCCUGGUAACGUUUUUAUCCAUGGAUGACUUGCUUGGGUAUGGAGAGUCGGCUUGACUACACUGUGUGGAGCAAGUUUUAAAGAAGCAAAGGACUCAGAAUUCAUGAUUGAAGAAAUGCAGGCAGACCUGUUAUCCUAAACUAGGGUUUUUAAUGACCACAACAAGCAAGCAUGCAGCUUACUGCUUGAAAGGGUCUUGCCUCACCCAAGCUAGAGUGCAGUGGCCUUUGAAGCUUACUACAGCCUCAAACUUCUGGGCUCAAGUGAUCCUCAGCCUCCCAGUGGUCUUUGUAGACUGCCUGAUGGAGUCUCAUGGCACAAGAAGAUUAAAACAGUGUCUCCAAUUUUAAUAAAUUUUUGCAAUCCA